GCCCUAUGUGUGUCUGUCCUCUGCAGAUCCGCGGACUGUGCCCUUUUGCCAUCCUUUGACCCUGAGAUUGUCCUUCAGACUGGUCAUGAGCUGCUGUCGGAGCUGCAGCAGCGUCGUUUUAAUGGCUCAGAGGGAGGAGGAGGAGGAGGAGGAGG